ensembl:lncRNA novel transcript, antisense CSRNP1
CCAGCUCCCAGCUGACCAGCAGGUUCUCCCAGGAGGUGGGGGAUUCAUGACCCAGAGGCAGGCAUACUCACAUGUACACACAUGCUCAGACAACACGGAAACACACAUAUGGACAAACAACACCCACACAUCCUGUCCCCAUCGCAUCCUGCCAAGAGACCCCAUCCUUUCCCCAGUUCCAGAUGCCAUCUACAGGGCCCUGAAUGCCUCCUUCACCACACAUCCAGCCUGAGAUCCCCCAGGACCCACUGCCCACUUGUUAUCUCCGCCCAACCAUCCCCUAGAAACAUAAAAUUCUGCAGGCCCCAAAUCGAACCCCUUGUGUCUGUUCCCCACCCCCCAUGCCAUCUGUUCCUCUUCCUGUGUUCCCUAUCUUAGUAACAGCCCCACCACCCACCCAGUCACUCAAGCCAGAAACCUGCAGUCAUCCUCAACUCCUUCCUCUCUCUUCCUCCAUCUAUAUCCAGGCACGCCAUGCCUGGGAGUUCAUGUAAAUCCGUUUAAUCCACACAGAGCCAGGAACAGACCCAGGAGGUAUCAUGGAGGCCACGUGGCCGUGUUAAGAGCUUCGGCUCCAGGACCAGACUGCCUGCUUUUGCAUGGAGGCCACGUGGCAGUGUUAAGAGCUUCGGCUCCAGAACCAGACUGCCUGCUUUUGAACUCUGGCUCCACUGUUACUUGGCUGGGUAAUCCUGGGCAAGUUCCUUAACCUCUCUGUGCCUCCAAUUCUUUGUCUUAAGACCUCAUAGGGUUGGGGGGUUUAGAAGAAUCAACACAUGUCACAUGUUCUUAGAUUAGUGAUAAGUGCUCAGUGAAUGUGUUAUUCCACACUGUUUAAAAAAAAAAAAAAAAUGAGCUCCAGCUCCUGGAUGCACACGACACAGAUGCAUCUCACAGACAUCAUGCUGAGUGAAAGAAGGCAGACACGAAAUACAUGCAAAUGUUCAAAAAAAAAGGCAGAACUACUCUGUGAUGAUAUAAGUCAGAGCAGUGGUUCCCCAGGAGAGGGAGAAGGACACCCUGGAGAGAGUCAUGAGGGAAAUUUUCUGGGGUGGGAGGUAGGAAGGGCUGGGGGACCUGUAAAAGUUCUAUGUUGAUCUGCAUGGUGGUUAAAUGAAUGUCUAAAAUUGUAAAAAUUCGUCUUAUGGACACUUAAGAUUUAUAUACUUACGCAUUUUAUUUAGGUUACUAUCAAUUUAAAAAGUUCACUAACCUUAACAUGUCUCUGUCCCCACAGUGGCCACCCCAUGUCCCUCUACUCCUGCCCUCUUUCCCCAGCCAUUCUUGAUCCUGCAGCCAGAAUGACCUUCUUAAACCACACAUUUACCUGCCACUCCCACGCCUAGAACCACUCUAUAGCUCCCCUUGGGGCAUUAGGAUCAAGUCCAGAAUUCAAGAAGCUGAAGCUGACCUGGCCACUGCUUCCCUCUCCCCACCUUGCUCUCUUUACUCCAGCUGAACUGGCAGUUCCCGUAAUGGCCAUGUCCCUGCUCACCUCCUGGCCUCUGCAAAGCUGGAACAACCCAGCCUUAUUCCCUUUCAGAAAGUCAUCUUUCAAGGGGCUUCCUGAAUCCCCCACUCCUUCCUCCUGCCUUUCUGUGCUCCUGCUAUGGACUGAAUAUUUGUAUCCUACCAAAAUUCUUAUGUUGAGACUGAAUCCCCAGUGUGACGGUAUUUGGAGGUGGGCCUUGGGGUAAUCAGGAGAUGAAUGACACCUUAUUAGCACCUUUAUAAGAAGUGACACAAAAGAGAUGGUCUCCCUCUCCAACAUGUGAGCUCAGACCCAGCAAGAAGGUGUCCAUCUGCAAGCCAAGAAGGCAGACUUCAUCAGGCUGACUAGAGCCUUGAUCUUGGACUUCACAACCUCCCAAAGUGUGAAAAAUAAAUCUUUUGUUUAAGCAACCCAGUCUAUGGACUUUCCAUUAUAGCAGCCCAAAGGAAAACAGCUCCCAAAAACCCUGGUAUUUCCCUAUCACAGACUAUAUCUGAUCAGACUGCAAGGGCCUCAUUGCUCAUCUGCCUCACACUGAGGGCAUUUCUCUCUGGCUGCCCAUGUGCCCAUGUCUAGGACAGAGUCUGGCAUAGAGAAGGCACCUGAUAAUACCAGAGGUAAGCAGACCAGCCCUGCAUAUCGGGUAUAGACCCAACUGCACAGGCAAUCUUACCCACAUGAGGCUGCUGAGGGCGACUGGUCAGUGUGACCUUCUCCUGCUCCUGUCACAGUUAAUUUAAGAGGGGCAGGAGGAGAGUCACAUGUCUAUCCCCCAGCUGUGCCAGAGGGUACAAGCAAGAAUGGUGCUCAAAAAGGGUGGCUCUGGUGGCAGGAGAGGGAAGCUCAGGCUGCAGGCAGGUGCCAAUGUAGGCAAUCCCAGGAGGCUCCCUGGUCCCCCAAGAGGAAACAGAUGGAGAGAGAUGUCAGGAAAGCAGGCUCAGAUACGCACUGCGGCUCUGCCUAAGGGAUCGCCACAGAAAGAGAACUUAAGGUGAGGAGGUUAUGACCUCCAAGCCUACAGACAGGGAAACAGAGACACAGGGAAGCUACGGUCAUGCUGCAGGUUCUAGUGAUGAACAAUCCCCUCCAAAUCUGCAGAGCGGGAAUGAAAUGAGAAAUUACCUCCUCCCUGAUACUCCUCUGGAGAGGCGGGGGAAGUGCCCCUGGUUCUCAUGUUCCUCUGUUCCACCUCGGAAUCCAGAGGCUAAGAGGCAGAGGCAGGAGAUGAAACAAAAAGACUGAGCCAGAGACAAGGAGAGGCCAAGAGGGAAUGAAACAUAGUGAGAAUCUAAGAAAAGUGUCAGACAGUGAGUCAGAGGUGGGGGGAGGGGCCCUCAGCAGCUACCCAGGAAUCAAGAUCCUGACCAUGGCAGUGUUCCCAGGGUGAGCACAGCCCCCUCCCUAGGGUCCUGGAGGAAGGAAAAGCAGUUCCCAGGAGCUGGCUCAGACAGAAAUACCACACCGCCGAGGAACCCCAGAGACAGGCCCUGAAUCUGAGAGCCAGGCUUCUUCUGGGAUCUGAGCCCUGACAAUCAGGCAGCCCUCCUGCCACCACACACAGGCACUGACAACCCCCCACUCAACUGGCCACAGUUAUCCACACGCUCAGGUCACACUGUGCAAAUCCAGGAAAGGCCACCUCACCCCUGGGCACCAAGUAACCAAAGGCUGUUUUUGAGAAGUGGGGGCGGGGCUUGAAAACGUCACAGCAACUCCUCUGUCCACCUCAGCAGUCCUACCAGUGCCCCAGGCCUCAACCCAAGCCAGUCUUAGGGAGGGGGCACCUUUAGCUGCCUCCAUCCCCCUUCAGGAAUCUGAAGAAUGUGUCCUUUAACCUCAGAGCCCCAGGCCUUGGCCAGUCCCCCCAAAACACUUGGGGUCACAUGACCCCUGUCCCUCAGGAACUUCCUGGGAGAAGGGGAGGGCACCUCCCAGCACCUCUAGCCCCCACUGAAAAACCAGCCUGGGUGGCCCUGAGAGGGCAGACCGAAAGCCUUGGCACCUCCUCCCCAACCAUCCCUCUGAAGGAGAGCUGGGGGAGGGGACGGCUCCUCGGCUUUGGCCUCCAGGACCUGGCACUGGAUAGGUGCCAAAUGUUUGCUGGCUACAUGAGGCACUUGUUCCUGCAGAAGGGAAACUGCACCUGACAAUGACUGCUUCCUCCACCUAAGUGGGGCCUUCUUCCCUCUCUCAUUCAUUCAUUCAACAAAUACACACUAAGCUCACAUAUGUGCCAAACACUGUGGCAGGCACUCGCGCAUGCAGGGAGCAAGACUUAUACAACUGCUGCCCUCUUGAAGCUCUGAAUUGAGCAGGGAGGACAAAUAGAGUGGGGUGCUGGGAUGGAGGGUCUGAAGGGUGGGACAGGGUACGGCUGGGGUGAAGGUAGGUCUCUCCGAGGAAGGAAUGUAGGCAGAGUUCCAGAUAGGGGCUCCGCAUGGGUAAGGAACAGGAGGAGGGACCAGCACAGUGUGAUCGGAGGAGGGGCAGCCCGCGAGGCUGAGCCUGGGCUCCAGGGCAGGCUUUACCUCGAGGGCACGGCAAGCCACAGAAGGCUUAAGUAGGGAGUGACAAUGCCAGAUUUGCAUUUUAAAAACGUGGCUCAGCACCGGGAGUGGAGGGGGUGUGACCGGUUGGAGGUGCUGCCAGGGCCAGGAGAGAUGACAGGUCAAGGGCAUAGGAGAAAGGCAGAUACCAAGAUGUGGAGAAGGAAGAGGGCAGGGCUGUCAAGGAUUUGGAUCGGGGGAGUGCGUGCCUGUGAAUGGGCCCCGGGGAGGAGAAACUGAGGAAGGGGAGGAAGUACGUGCUGCGGAAGGAGGAGAAGUGCGUGGGAGAGAGUCUACGUGUGCCUGCGGGUGGCCGGUGUAGCUGAGCCCGUGACUCACAGCAGUGGCCUCUGAGAGUGACGGCGACUGACAAACAGACUAAGGCCAAGAAAGAGGUUAUAUCAUGAACCCAUGACCUGACUCCAGACAAUGAUUUUGCCAUUCCAACUUCAGAGGAAGCUUUGGAAGGAGUUUAAACCAUAAGCUUACCCUCUCAAUCAUCCACUACCCCAAGGACAGAGGUGGGAAAACUCAAAGGCACAGGCUGUACUGAGAAGUUUGAGCAAUGGAGAAGAAAGUGGAGCUCUGACUGACCUUAGCCCACCACAGUCAGGCUCCAAGAGGGGAGAUGGCCUGGGCUGAUGGCUCCCUUUCCUCUGCUGGCCCUUCCCUUUUGGGAAAACCCCCAUGUCAGAAAAGUCUCAAGUCUGUCAGACUGGGAGUCCCCAACUCCCAACCCAAGGAAGCAGCCCUAGGAAAGGAGAGGAUGAGAUUUCCCAAAGCUAUCUCUUACCACUUCCCUCCCCCAAUCUCAUCCCUCCAUCUAUUGGUGAGAAGCCUCCUAAAGUUGGCCUGAGGCUCCUGAGGGACUGGUUCCACCGGAGUCUUUAACCAGGACCCUAUCCUCCUUGGGACCUGCAAUAGAGAUAAGAAUCAG